UCGAUCCUGGAACAUGCAGGGGCCGAAACCUGCCGGCGAGAUCAAGUGCAGAUGGGCACUACCUUGCCGAGGGAGUGAGGCUCGGUUCCAGCCAGAGACAGGUCACGCCUCCCACUCUGGUCGCGGCGACCUCCGGGGGCGAGGACGGCCGCGCUCCCCGCCCGGGUGGGGCGCUCCGGGCCAGCGCCCAGGCCGCGUGUGGGCGCGCCGCCCGCCUCGCGGGGCCCGGGGACCCAGACCCAGGCCCUGCAGACGAGUCGAUUUACCUGCUCCCUGCUCUCGCUCACCGCCGCCGCCGCUGUCGCGCCGCUCACCCACGCUGCCAGCUUGGGUUGGUUAGACUCAUUGCAACUAUCCUGGAUCCAUUUUUGGCUAAAUGAAGAGGAAAGUUUUACCAGCUGAUGGCCAUUUGAUGACCUGCCUGGAAAGAAUUGGUAGACUCAGAAGAGCACAAUUGAGAGAAGUGAUCACAUCGCAAAAUGUGACAUCAUUCUUUGGCACCAGCUGGCAUUCUGGGCAUGGAGAGUUAUAUGCUCAACCCUGAAUUUUCCCCUCUAGAUACCUUUGUGGCUCACCAGAGGGCAGUGUGCAGUGAUCUGCUCUACUGCUUCAUACAUUGGAUGUCUCCCAUGGAAAAGCCAAGGUCAAAUCAUCAGAACCAGACAAUAGGAAGUAAUAGAUUAUGGAAGUUAUUUUAUUAGGUUUGUUGUAUCUGUACCCUCUACAUGGAAUUCUUAAUAUUGAGAAAUUAAUCACCAUACGAAAUAAAAGUUACAAAACCCAGAGACCAAGCUGUGAAAGAAACUUUUCCAGUUGAAGCAUCUGCUUUUGUGACAAAUUUUUCAAUCAAGCAUAUGGGAAGGUUUGGGGAGUUGCCUUGAUUUUAUCUGUUCAUUUUUCUACUAAGAUUAAAUAAAUGACAUUGGAAGUGGUGUGGACUUCUUUCUUGGCCACCCUAAAAAAUCCAGUAGUACAUUUUCUAUACUUAAUUGAAUUGUACAAUUCUAUGUUUCACUCUUGACCCCUGACACACCUGUGAAUCAGACAGCUCUUGUCCAUAGUUGUGGACCCUCUAGCUUGAAUUGUUUUUUUUCUGUGUAAACCACAAAGGAGUCUUCCACAUGUUAAUCAUGUUCUCUCUUACCCUGAUCUUAUACCUAUAUCAUUAUUUAGCCCAUCUUGAUGGGCUAGUGUACGUGAUAUUUCUUACUGUAUGACUUGUCAAAUUAAAACUUCCUCGCUUGAUGAUAUUAUAAACACCAUUUUCUUAGUCACCUAGAUGUGCAAAGGUACUAUACAGGGAGCCUGCUUGAAUUCAACGCAAUCAGGACUUCAGAUAUCAGUAUCACCGCAUUGUGUUGUGAUAGCCCCUUCUCUUGUUUCUAUAUCUCUCCUGGAAUAUAAGCCACCUGAGGGGAAGGAUGGUGUAUAGUUUAAGAAGCCCUCUGAAUGCACAAACUUGUUAGAAAACAAGGAGGGAAUGAAAGUGUCAGCUAGUGCCAAGAUUUCUGGCAGUGGGAAAGGUCGUAAUAUUGGGUGGUAUUCUGCUAAAGGGGAAAGAAAAGGGAGGUUCCAGGAAAUGAGAUUAGAGUUAUUAUCCAAGGAUCAGAAAGCAUAAUAAAAUUUAAAAUCUCUGGUCUUCCUUUUUAGAUAGCUCUAUAUCUUUAUUUGUGUAUGUAUAUAAUUAAUUGUGUAUAAUACACAUAAAAUGUACCAUCUUAACCAUUUUAAGUCUACAAUUUAGUGGCAUUAACAUAUUCACAUCGUUGUGCAACUAUCGCUAUCAUUCAUCUCCAGAACUCUUUUCAUCUUGCAAAACCACUGUAGCUGCUGAACAAUAAAUUCUGUACCUACUGAACAAUAAAUUUCCACACCCCUGCCCCCAG